rnacentral:rRNA from 1 species
UAAUACAUGCAAGUCGAGCGGACUUGAUGAGAAGCUUGCUUCUCUGANNGUUAGCGGCGGACGGGUGAGUAACACGUAGGCAACCUGCCUGUAAGAUCGGGAUAACUACCGGAAACGGUAGCUAAGACCGGAUAACCGGUUUCUCCGCAUGGAGAGAUCGUGAAACACGGAGCAAUCUGUGGCUUACGGAUGGGCCUGCGGCGCAUUAGCUAGUUGGUGAGGUAACGGCUCACCAAGGCGACGAUGCGUAGCCGACCUGAGAGGGUGAACGGCCACACUGGGACUGAGACACGGCCCAGACUCCUACGGGAGGCAGCAGUAGGGAAUCUUCCGCAAUGGACGCAAGUCUGACGGAGCAACGCCGCGUGAGUGAUGAAGGUUUUCGGAUCGUAAAGCUCUGUUGCCAGGGAAGAACGCCAAGGAGAGUAACUGCUCUUUGGGUGACGGUACCUGAGAAGAAAGCCCCGGCUAACUACGUGCCAGCAGCCGCGGUAAUACGUAGGGGGCAAGCGUUGUCCGGAAUUAUUGGGCGUAAAGCGCGCGCAGGCGGUUUUUUAAGUCUGGUGUUUAAUCCCGAGGCUCAACCUCGGUUCGCACCGGAAACUGGGAGACUGGAGUGCAGGAGAGGAAAGUGGAAUUCCACGUGUAGCGGUGAAAUGCGUAGAGAUGUGGAGGAACACCAGUGGCGAANNCGACUUUCUGGCCUGUAACUGACGCUGA